UACGAAGGGAGCUAGCGUUGUUCGGAAUCACUGGGCGUAAAGCGCACGUAGGCGGACGUGUCAGUCAGGGGUGAAAUCCCGGAGCUCAACUUCGGAACUGCCUUUGAUACAGCACGUCUUGAGUCCGGAAGAGGUGGGUGGAAUUCCUAGUGUAAGAGGUGAAAUUCGUAGAUAUUAGGAAGAACACCGGUGGCGAAGGCGGCCCACUGGUCCGGUACUGACGCUGAGGUGCGAAAGCGUGGGGAGCAAACAGG
rnacentral:rRNA from 1 species